UACGGGGGGGCAAGGCGUUAAUCGGAAUUACGUGGGCGUAAAGUGUGCGCAGGCGGCCGAGCAAGUCGAGAUGUGAAGCCCGAGCUUAACUUGGGAACUGCGCUCGAAACUACUUGGCUAGAGUGUGGCAGAGGGACGGUGGAAUUCCACGUGUAGCGGUGAAAUGCGUAGAGAUGUGGAGGAACACCGAUGGCGAAGGCAGCCUCCUGGGCCAAACACUGACGCUCGAU
rnacentral:rRNA from 1 species